rnacentral:rRNA from 1 species
GGCGUGCUUAACACAUGCAAGUCGAGCGGUAAGGCCCUUCGGGGUACACGAGCGGCGAACGGGUGAGUAACACGUGGGUGAUCUGCCUCGCACUCUGGGAUAAGCCUGGGAAACUGGGUCUAAUACCGGAUAUGACCUUACAUCGCAUGGUGUUUGGUGGAAAGAUUUAUCGGUGCGAGAUGGGCCCGCGGCCUAUCAGCUUGUUGGUGGGGUAAUGGCCUACCAAGGCGACGACGGGUAGCCGGCCUGAGAGGGCGACCGGCCACACUGGGACUGAGACACGGCCCAGACUCCUACGGGAGGCAGCAGUGGGGAAUAUUGCACAAUGGGCGAAAGCCUGAUGCAGCGACGCCGCGUGAGGGAUGACGGCCUUCGGGUUGUAAACCUCUUUCGACAGGGACGAAGCGCAAGUGACGGUACCUGUAGAAGAAGCACCGGCCAACUAC